rnacentral:rRNA from 1 species
AGCUUGCUCCUUGGGUGGCGAGUGGCGGACGGGUGAGGAAUACAUCGGAAUCUACUCUGUCGUGGGGGAUAACGUAUGGAAACUUACGCUAAUACCGCAUACGACCUACGGGUGAAAGCAGGGGAUCUUCGGACCUUGCGCGAUUGAAUGAGCCGAUGUCGGAUUAGCUAGUUGGCGGGGUAAAGGCCCACCAAGGCGACGAUCCGUAGCUGGUCUGAGAGGAUGAUCAGCCACACUGGAACUGAGACACGGUCCAGACUCCUACGGGAGGCAGCAGUGGGGAAUAUUGGACAAUGGGCGCAAGCCUGAUCCAGCCAUACCGCGUGGGUGAAGAAGGCCUUCGGGUUGUAAAGCCCUUUUGUUGGGAAAGAAAUCCAUCUGGUUAAUACCCGGGUGGGAUGACGGUGCCCAAAGAAUAAGCACCGGCUAACUUCGUGCCAGCAGCCGCGGUAAUACGAAGGGUGCAAGCGUUACUCGGAAUUACUGGGCGUAAAGCGUGCGUAGGUGGUCGUUUAAGUCCGUUGUGAAAGCCCUGGGCUCAACCUGGGAACUGCAGUGGAUACUGGGCGACUAGAAUGUGGUAGAGGGUA